rnacentral:rRNA from 1 species
UACGUAGGGGGCAAGCGUUGUCCGGAUUUAUUGGGCGUAAAGAGCUCGUAGGCGGUUUGGUAAGUCUGGUGUGAAAUCUCCACGCUCAACGUGGAGGGGCCACCCGAUACUGCCAUGACUGGAGUCCGGUAGAGGAGUGUGGAAUUCCCGGUGUAGCGGUGAAAUGCGCAGAUGUCGGGAGGAACACCCGUAGCGAAGGCGGCACUCUGGGCCGGUACUGACGCUGAGGAGCGAAAGCGUGGGGAGCGAACAGG